CAAUAGCGUAUAUUAAAGUUGCUGCGGUUAAAAAGCUCGUAGUUGGAUCUCAGUUACGGACAAGUGGUUCUCCUUUCGGUGCUACUACUUGGGCCGGACCUAUUGCUGGUUCCUCCAAGGUCUCCUUCACUGGGUGCCUUGGUAGACCAGAGCGUUUACUUUGAAAAAAUUAGAGUGCUCAAAGCAGGCGAUUGCCUGAACAGUCGUGCAUGGAAUAAUGGCAAAUGGCCUCGGUGCUAUUUUGUUGGUUCUCGGUACUCGAGGUAAUGGUUGAAAGGGACAGACGGGGGCAUUCGUAUUGCGACGUUAGAGGUGAAAUUCUUAGAUCGUCGCAAGACGAACUACUGCGAAAGCAUUUGCCAAGAAUGUUUUCAUUAA
rnacentral:rRNA from 1 species